UUAAAUUGAAGAGUUUGAUCAUGGCUCAGAUUGAACGCUGGCGGCAGGCCUAACACAUGCAAGUCGAACGGUAACAGGAAGAAGCUUGCUUCUUUGCUGACGAGUGGCGGACGGGUGAGUAAUGUCUGGGAAACUGCCUGAUGGAGGGGGAUAACUACUGGAAACGGUAGCUAAUACCGCAUAACGUCGCAAGACCAAAGAGGGGGACCUUCGGGCCUCUUGCCAUCGGAUGUGCCUAGAUGGGAUUAGCUAGUAGGU
rnacentral:rRNA from 1 species